AUUGAACGCUGGCGGCAGGCUUAACACAUGCAAGUCGAGCGAGCGGCGGACGGGUGAGUAAUGUCUGGGAAACUGCCUGAUGGAGGGGGAUAACUACUGGAAACGGUAGCUAAUACCGCAUACCAUCAGAUGUGCCCAGAUGGGAUUAGCUGGUAGGUGGGGUAAUGGCUCACCUAGGCGACGAUCCCUAGCUGGUCUGAGAGGAUGACAAGCCACACUGGAACGGAGACACGGUCCAGACUCCUACGGGAGGCAGCAGGGGGGAAUAUUGCACAAUGGGCGCAAGCCUGAUACAGCCAGGCCGCGUGUGUGAAGAAGGCUUUCGGGUUGUAAAGUACUUUCAGUGAGGAGGCGGUACUCGCAGAAGAAGCACCGGCUAACUCCGUGCCAGCAGCCGCGGUAAUAC
rnacentral:rRNA from 1 species